rnacentral:lncRNA from 1 species
AUGGAGAUGAUUAAGUGAAAGGAUCAAGGGUUUACAUGAGAAGAGAGAUCAAAGGAAGAAAAGGAGUAGUUGUGUGAAGUUAAGGAGAAGUGUACGGAUAGGGCAAAGGCCGUACAACUUAGGUACCUUGGGAAGAAAGGCAAAUCUCACAUCUAUCCUAAAGUGGCCGAUGACUCUACAAGAGGAAGAGGCUUUAGGAUAUGACCGUUGAAGGAUAAGGUUGGGACGCGGCUUAAGCUGUUGCUAGCUGUAAAGGCAAAAGGAGCAUCUAGGCAAAGAUGCCUUUGGCAUCAAGCGUGUAAAGCCUCACCUCCGUUCAUUCAAAUGAAGCGCGCCUCUCCUUGGUUUGACUCCACAUGCUUAGUCUUUAGGAUUUGCUUUCACUAUUACAAAACCCUUGUAUGCUGAUCCAUAUAAAUAUGUAAUCUCUCCAUAAUAAUAAAUUAAGCAAGUUAUGAGUCUCUCU